rnacentral:lncRNA from 1 species
UAUUUUUUACUUUUAUUAUUUCUUAGUAAAAAUAUGUAAAACCACAUAGCCCAUAACUUAUACUCUAUCCGACCCUAAAGCCAUUUCCUCUUUCUUCAUAACCCACGCUAAUUUAUCAAUUUCAUCUCCCACUUUCACUCCUAAAUUCUCUCUCUCUCAUCCAAAUUUCUAACAUAAACAGCGCAAUUAGGGUUCUUAGUCAUCGGUGGGAUUUAGCUUUCUUGGUGUAGAGGAGUAAGUUAAAUACCCAAUAGAUUCACAAAGUAGCAGAAUCGUGAGGUCCCAACUUCAGAAUCGUGGGGUCCCAACAUAAACAAUGCUUAGGGUUCUUAUGUUGUGAUUCAAAUUCAUUUUCUGCCAUCAACGUAAGUUGUCCUAUUUCAGACUAGUUUCAGAUUUUCAAUUUUCUUUGUGGUUUUUGUUUGCAUUCCCACAAAUUGGUGGUCUUACUUUUAGAUUUUAAUUUUAAAUGCAUUUUCUUUAUGAGAGUCUUUGAUUUAUUCAGUAGCUACAUUUAGAAGCAAGUUUUUUGUUCGCAGAUUCUCUUGAAAUGAUCGAUUCCUUGAGCGUGUUCAUUCAAUUAGUUUCUCAGUUAGCAUCAAUUGCGAGAAAUUAUUAUCGCAAAAGGCACACUGUGAGAAAUUGCUAGCUGUAAGUGCUUCUUUUCUAAUUUAGAUAUUUUGGUUUUUUUAAUCAUUUCUCUGUUCUUUACUCUUUUGGGUAUCAACGGUGUAUAUGUUUCUUUAGAUUUAUGAUUUGAACCGAAAUUGUUAGUUUUUUUUUCAUUAGGGUGUUUCUAGUGCGAGUCUAAACUUGUUUCUUUUGGUAUCUAUGGUAAAAUAGUUUUCUCUGGAUGAAAUAUUUGUAGAAAUUGAUGUUUGAUUUCCUAUUUACAUGAGCUACUAAGUUGGGUUGUGUGGACUAUUAAGUAUCUGCUUUUGUUUUGUUGGACUAGAACAUAUAUUCAGGUUGUGAAAGGUAUUCAACAUUAUUUUAUAUAUAGAUUUUUAUGGUAUUUCCGUCUAUGUAUCAAUUCCUACUAAAAACUUUAUGUAUCAAUCAAAACUUAUUUACGAUAUGUUUAUUUGGAGUUUAAAAUUGGGAUGUAGGGAAGUAUCUACUUCUAUUUUAUUAGAUCAAUACUUGUAUUCAGUGUAUGAAACAUAUUCACCUUUAAUUUGUUUUAGAUGUAGGUGUAAAUUGUUUGAUGGUAAGUCAAGUUAUUUGUUUGUAAAAGUUAGGUAUGUUUCAAAGUGUGCUACUUUAUAGGUAAUGUAUGAAGUGACGCGAGCUACAUUCUUUAUAGUGAUCAUUUAGGGCUGAUAAUUUGUCAUCUAAAGACUAAAGCAUGAAGUAUUAUAUGAAGCCACACCAUCGAGUACCUAAUUCAAAUAACAAAGAUGGUUUAAAAAUAUACGGAGCAUGAAUCGCAUGUUUUGCACUAAAUGGAAUUUAGUCUUGUAUAUCUUUGAGUGAAUAAUUUUUUUUGGGGUAAUGUAUGUGAAUAUUAACAUAAUAAAAAUUAUUUCCUUACACAAAAAAAGAGCACCUCAUACAUAGAUGGGCCUCAAGUAAAGCAGCAUACCAAACUCCUACAUCCUAGUUACAAAAAACACACUCUAAUUGCUAUAUCUUUAUGUUGCUACUUAUGAAAAAAGUAAGCAGGGAAGUAUUUCUGUAAUUUAAAUUGAGAUCUUGUUUGUUCAGAUCAUUUUUUAUAUAUGUGAAAGUGGUUUAUUGGUUAAGCCCCUUGUAUGCAUAAGCAUUACAGAGAAAAGGAUCUUAUUUUCUUAUAGAAUACUUAUAGUUUGUAAAGAUUUAAAGGUUACAGCUAUUUAAUGAGAACUAAAUCGCUAUCCUUGAUUCCUAAAUUAACAGAGUACUUGUUCAUGGUUUAUUUGAUAAAAUUAGUUCUCUUAUAUUUAUUUGUAACUUAGCUUAACAUAAAUCUUAAUUUUGGUGAUUUACUCGUAUCAUAUAGGAAUUCAAUAAUAACAUAUAUAAAAGUUGGAUGAAUCUCCUAAGAUGGACUGAUGAGUAUAUUCGUGGAGUAAAUAAUUUUCUUGAUAAGGCAUUUGAACGAGCUUCCCAGGGAAAUGAAAUAUUAUGUCCUUGCAAAAAGUGCAUGAAUCGCAAUUGGUAUUAUAAAAAUGUGGUGGAGGAUCACUUGGUAGUAAAUGAGUUUGUUGAUGGUUACACCAAAUGGGUUUUUCAUGGGGAAGGAUUUUCCUCAGCAAAUUCACCUAAUCCAUGCAAUGAUGAUGAUGAUUUUGACAUGUGUGACAAUAUUGAUGGACUACUUCAUGAUACAUUUAGAAAUAUAGAGGGUGAGUCAGGGCAUGAAGGAGUAAAAGAAGAACUAUCUGAAGAUGCAAAGAGAUUUUUUAGAUUGGUGGAUGAAGAAAAACAAGAGUUAUAUCCUGGGUGUGAAACUUUUACUAAACUAAGUUUCACCAUUCGACUAUACUUGCUUAAAUCCUUGCAUGGAUGGAGUAAUGUGGUAUUUUCAGACACGCUAGAGUUGAUAAAAGAGGCAUUUCGCUUUGCUCAACUACCAAAGUCGCUUAACAAGGCUAGAAACAUGAUAAGAGAUUUGGGCCUUCAUUAUGAAAAAAUACAUGCAUGCCCUAAUGAUUGCAUGCUAUUUUGGAAUGACAAUGCGAAUGCUGAUAAUUAUUUUGUUUGUGGGUCUUCAAGAUGGAAGAGUACUAAUGCAAGUUCUAAAAUCCCUACAAAGAUUUUAAGGUACUUUCCCUUGAAGCCUAGGCUGCAAAGGAUGUUCAUGUGUCCUUAAAUAGCUAUUGCAAUGAAAUGGCAUGCUAAUGAACUACCCAAUUAUAGAAAUUUAAGGCAUCAUGCUGAUGGGAAAACUUGGAAGGAUUUUGAUUCCUUGCACCCAGACUUCACUGGGGACUCACGUAAUGUCAGGCUGGGUCUUUCAAGCGAUGGUUUUAAUCCAUUUCGAACCAUGAGCAUUUCUUAUAGUACAUGGCAUGUUGUGUUGAUGAACAGUAAUUUAUCGCCGUGGAUUUGCAUGAAGCCGGAAUAUAUUAUGUUGUCAAUGAUUAUUCCAGGUCUAUCAUCUCCAGGAAAUGAUAUUGAUGUGUACCUACAACCACUAAUUGCUUAACUGAAAGAACUAUGGAAAAUUGGGAUAAAAACAUAUGAUGCUGAUACAAACCAAACAUUUCAAAUGCGUGCAGCUUUAUUGUGGACAAUUAGUAAUUUUUCAGCAUUAGCAAUGCUUUCAUGAUGGAGCACCAAGGGAAGAUUGGCAUGUCCCACUUGUAAUUCUGACACAUGCUCUUAAUAUCUCAAACAUAGUCAUAAGAUGUGUUACUUGGGUCAUCGGAGAUUUUUGCCACCUAAUCAUCCAUUGCGAAAAGAUAAGAGGUCAUUUGAUGGUAAGGAGGAGCAUAGACCUGCACCUACAUCUUUGUCGGGUGUAGAAGUAUUUCAAGAAUUGCUUGAAUUCAACAAUGUUUUUGGAUAGGGCAAAAAGAAAAGGCUUCGGAAUAACAAGAGUCCUUCGAAAAAGAGAUUCAUUUUUUUUGAAUUGCCAUAUUGGGCGUAUAACAAAUUGAGUCACAAUCUUGAUGUAAUGCACAUUGAGAAAAACAUAUGUGAUAGUUUUAUUAGGACUUAUUUUAGAAAUAGAUGGAAAGUCAAAGGAUCAUGUAAAUUCUCGCUAUGACUUACAAGAAAUGGGGAUACGAAAAGAGCUACAACCAAGAGAAGAUGAUAAUGGAACAGUGAGUUUGGCUCAAGCUUGUUUCUCCAUGAGUCCAGAAGAGAAAAGAUUAUUUUGCAUUGUUAUAAAAAAUUCCAAAUUACCAAAAGGGUGUGCUUCGAAUAUAUCAGAUCGUGUGCAUGUGAAGGAGAUGAAAAUAUCAGGGUACAAAAGUCAUGAUGCUCAUUUUAUAAUGCAUUACUUACUCCAGGUUGCAGUUAGGAAAGCAUUACCCAAGAAUGUUUCGUCGCCCUUGAUUAGGUUGGGCGAUUUCUUUAGAGCCAUAUGUAGUAAGGUUGUAAGGAGAAGGGAUCUUGAAAAAAUGCAAUCUAAAAUUGCUGAAAUAACAUGUGAACUUGAAAGGAUUUUUCUUCCAAUAUUUUUUGAUAUAAUGCCAUAUUUACCUAUUCAUCUGGUGAAUAAAAUUAAGCUUGGGGGUCCGGCUUAUCUUCGUUGGAUGUAUUCUAUUGAGAGGGACCUAUGUAAGUUGAAGGCGUUUGUUCGUAAUCGAUCUUGUCCAGAAGCGUCAACAACAGAGGGUUGAACUAUAUAUUUAACCGUUGGUCUAUAUAUUUAAUUCAAUUCCUUGAAGUUUAAUUUCCAACACUUCAAACCGUUUAUCAUUUUGAUAAUCUGACAAAAAAUUAUGAUUGUUUUACUGAAGGGUGGAAAAGGGGUUGCUAAAUUUAUACUGUCCGUUAUUUCAUAUGUGAUGACAUGUCGAAUUAAAACAAAAAACUUUAUCUUGCUAGGUGUAAUCCGUUGGACAUAGAUUCAAUUUUUCACUUUUUUGGAUUCCUUAGAAUUUCUUUUUCCUGUUCCUGGUGGUAUCAAUAUGCCUGUAUAUCGGGAUAUCUUAUCUGUCUCUCUAGGAAAAUGAAUAUCUCCAAAAAAGAUUUUAAGUUCAAUUCUUUUUUUUUUCUCUCCACCCGGACCAACCUACCGACUCGGCUUCUUAGAUUUAAGGUGAUUUGUGUAUCUACCAAGGGUGUCGUGUUAGUAAACGAACAAUGGACUUUGGGCACCAAGGGGAUCGUGGGGCGGUGGUUAUAAAGUCCAAACCAGCUUUGGUCCUUGAGUGCAGUAGGGACCAUGCUGAGGUUUCCAUGGCACCCAGACGAAAAGCUAUAUUAAAAGGCCAUCGAGGAGAGAGAAAAAUCAUUCUUUCUCAUAAUUUUGAGAGUGUAGGACGACCCCACACCCUAAGUACAUCAAGGCAAGUGUUCAAUGGAAUUAUCAACCUAUUUUUAUCGAUUUAGUGAAGAUUAUAACAUCAAGACAUCGAAUUUCUGCACAAUUAGUCCAAGAAAAGUCUCCAAAAUUUCAACCUUUGAGCUUUUGGAUUAUAAAGCGACGAAAAAAGUAAUAUUUUUACUUCAAAUUUAUUAUGAGAGGUUGUUGAACAUUGUAGUAAAGUUGAUAACAGUUUAUAUCAACAAAUUUACGUCAAAAAUACAAAUUAAAGACACGAACUAAAAACUCAGGCCUUAAGGUUCCAAAUCGUCCAUUGGAGAGGAUAAAUGUUAUUAAAAUUUAAUUUUGAUUAGUGUCCUAAAAUCCUAUCUUUGAGGAUAAUUCUUGAUGGUCAGGGUCCAACAAUUUUGGCAUGUUGACUAGAGUUGACCUUUUAGGUCAUCCUUUAAUCGUGAGUUUGAGUUGUGCUAAAAAUUAAGAGGAUGUCCAACUAACGAUUAUUCGCCAUUCUAAAUCCAUUUUUGUGUAUUUUGAGGUAAUAUCGAGACUGGACAGUGUAGGUCUAUUUUAUUGGAAAGUGUGCUUAAAUUUAAAAUUUGAGGUAAGUGAGAUCUUAAGCGUUAAUGCAAUCUUUUCAAAAUCAAUUCUAAAAAUGUGUUUUACUGUCCAGGCCCAUGUGUUGGGGCGAGCGUGUGCUUGGCAGAAUCUAUGAUCUGUGAGGCCAACCGUGAAUACUUGAUUUUUUAAGUUUAUUAAAGUUCUUUGGUUGUGAGUCAUAGUGUUGGGUCAUUGUGUAUGCUUCUUGAUAUUUCUGGGGCAUUGUGUAUACGUCUCGAUAUAAAUGGGGCAUAUUUGUAUGCCACCUAACAUAUUUAGACAUUGUAUAUGUUUCAUUGAGCGUUAUGUAUGCUUUAUCACAUAUUUAAGACAUUAUGUAUGCUUCGUGACAUAUUUGAGGCAUUGUGUAUGCUGUUUUGGACUCGUGGGAAUUUGGUUAAUUUUGUUUAUUAUGGCUAUAACAAGUUCUUUGUGUGACAUGCGUUAAGAUGUAAUGUUGUUGCUAAAUAAUUAUAUUGACUUUAAUUUGUUGAUAUAUUUUAUUAUGAUGUAAAUAUUAUGUUAUUAUAUCAUGUUCGUUGUUAUUGUGUUUGUAUAACUCACUCCUUACUUGCAUGUCCUUUCAGAUCUGUUGUCCAGGACAAGGCUAAUGGCUGACAAAUUCAAUCGAGUGGAUUUUGUUGCUGAGGUGAGUCACCGCAUUGUUGGUGGAGGCCACCAUUUCAGCUCUAUUUAAUUUAUCUUAUUUAUUUUUAUUUUUGGUGUUUGCACGUCCAGCAGUAAAAUACAUGUAACUCUAUUAGAUGAUCCAUGAUCGUAGUAUGGUAUUUGGGAUACAAUCUAUAACAUUUGGAUUUAUUAUUUAAUAUUUAUAUUUAACUAAUGGUUUGUUUGGAUGCUCCUUUAACUUACUAAAUGAUGCGAAUGAGUGGUUAAGUGUAUGG